rnacentral:rRNA from 1 species
GACAGAGGUGCCAAGCGUUAGGCGGAAUCACUGGGCUUAAAGCGUGUGUAGGCGGAUCGUUAAGUACCUUGUGAAAUCCCACGGCUUAACCGUGGAACUGCUCGGUAUACUGGCGGUCUUGAGCAACCUAGGGGCGAGCGGAACAAAUGGUGGAGCGGUGAAAUGCGUAGAUAUCAUUUGGAACGCCAAUGGUGAAAACAGCUCGCUGGGGGUUUGCUGACGCUGAGACGCGAAAGCGUGGGGAGCGAACAGG